GUUGGGAUAGUCUAAUCGGUUAAGGCGCCGCCAUGGAUAGGUCAGGGCUGCGGGUUCGAUCCCCGCUCCUAGUU
rnacentral:tRNA from 1 species